UCAAGCAUUUUCACUAUCACAGCCAGU
rnacentral:piRNA from 1 species